rnacentral:rRNA from 1 species
CCUACGGGAGGCAGCAGUAGGGAAUAUUGCACAAUGGGGGAAACCCUGAUGCAGCAACGCCGCGUGGAUGAUGAAGGUUUUCGGAUUGUAAACUCCUUUCAGUAGAGAAGAAAAUGACGGUAUCUAACCAAUAAGCACCGGCUAACUCCGUGCCAGCAGCCGCGGUCAUACGUAGGGUGCAAGCGUUACUCGGAAUUACUGGGCGUAAAGAGCGCGUAGGCGGGUGAGUAAGUCAGAUGUGAAAUCCUGUGGCUUAACCAUGGAACUGCAUUUGAAACUGUUAAUCUGGAGUAUGGGAGAGGUAGGUGGAAUUCUUGGUGUAGCGGUGAAAUGCGUAGAGAUCAGGAGGAAUACUGGUGGCGAAGGCGGCCUGCUGGACUAAAACUGACGCUGAGGCGCGAAAGCGUGGGGAGCAAACAGGAUUAGAUACCCGAGUAGUC